rnacentral:rRNA from 1 species
GGUUAAGUGACUAAGCGUACACGGUGGAUGCCUAGGCAGUCAGAGGCGAUGAAGGACGUGCUAAUCUGCGAUAAGCGUCGGUGAGCUGAUAUGAAGCAUUAUUAGCCGGCGAUGUCCGAAUGGGGAAACCCAGUGCAAUCCGUUGCACUAUCGUUAAGUGAAUACAUAGCUUAACGAGGCGAACCAGGGGAACUGAAACAUCUAAGUACCCUGAGGAAAAGAAAUCAACCGAGAUUCCCCUAGUAGCGGCGAGCGAACGGGGAAGAGCCCAGAACCUGAAUCAGUUUGUGCAUUAGUGGAAGCGUCUGGAAAGUCGCGCGAUACAGGGUGAUAGCCCCGUACACGAAGGUGCACAGCUGUGAGUUCGAUGAGUAGGGCGGGACACGUGUUAUCCUGUCUGAAUAUGGGGGACCAUCCUCCAAGGCUAAAUACUCCUGACUGACCGAUAGUGAACCAGUACCGUGAGGGAAAGGCGAAAAGAACCCCGGCGAGGGGAGUGAAAUAGAACCUGAAACCGUGUACGUACAAGCAGUGGGAGCAUCCUUCGGGGUGUGACUGCGUACCUUUUGUAUAAUGGGUCAGCGACUUAUAUUUUGUAGCAAGGUUAACCGAAUAGGGGAGCCGUAGGGAAACCGAGUCUUAACUGGGCGUCUAGUUGCAAGGUAUAGACCCGAAACCCGGUGAUCUAGCCAUGGGCAGGUUGAAGGUUGGGUAACACUAACUGGAGGACCGAACCGACUAAUGUUGAAAAAUUAGCGGAUGACUUGUGGCUGGGGGUGAAAGGCCAAUCAAACCGGGAGAUAGCUGGUUCUCCCCGAAAGCUAUUUAGGUAGCGCCUCGUGAACUCAUCUUCGGGGGUAGAGCACUGUUUCGGCUAGGGGGUCAUCCCGACUUACCAACCCGAUGCAAACUACGAAUACCGAAGAAUGUUAUCACGGGAGACACACGGCGGGUGCUAACGUCCGUCGUGAAGAGGGAAACAACCCAGACCGCCAGCUAAGGUCCCAAAGUCAUGGUUAAGUGGGAAACGAUGUGGGAAGGCAUAGACAGCCAGGAUGUUGGCUUAGAAGCAGCCAUCAUUUAAAGAAAGCGUAAUAGCUCACUGGUCGAGUCGGCCUGCGCGGAAGAUGUAACGGGGCUAAACCAUGCACCGAAGCUGCGGCAGCGACGCUUAGGCGUUGUUGGGUAGGGGAGCGUUCUGUAAGCCUGCGAAGGUGGCCUGUGAGGGCUGCUGGAGGUAUCAGAAGUGCGAAUGCUGACAUAAGUAACGAUAAAGCGGGUGAAAAGCCCGCUCGCCGGAAGACCAAGGGUUCCUGUCCAACGUUAAUCGGGGCAGGGUAAGUCGACCCCUAAGGCGAGGCUGAAAAGCGUAGUCGAUGGGAAACAGGUUAAUAUUCCUGUACUUGGUGUUAUUGCGAAGGGGGACGGAGAAGGCUAGACCGGCCGGGCGACGGUUGUCCCGGUUUAAGCGUGUAGGUGGGGUGACUUGGCAAAUCCGGUUACCUUUAACACUGAGGCGUGAUGACGAGGCACUACGGUGCUGAAGUGGUUAAUGCCCUGCUUCCAGGAAAAGCCUCUAAGCUCCAGAUAACACUGAAUCGUACCCCAAACCGACACAGGUGGUCAGGUAGAGAAUACCAAGGCGCUUGAGAGAACUCGGGUGAAGGAACUAGGCAAAAUGGUGCCGUAACUUCGGGAGAAGGCACGCUGGCACGUAGGUGAAGUCCCUCGCGGAUGGAGCCGAAGCCAGUCGAAGAUACCAGCUGGCUGCAACUGUUUAAUAAAAACACAGCACUCUGCAAACACGAAAGUGGACGUAUAGGGUGUGACGCCUGCCCGGUGCUGGAAGGUUAAUUGAUGGGGUCAGCCGCAAGGCGAAGCUCUUGAUCGAAGCCCCAGUAAACGGCGGCCGUAACUAUAACGGUCCUAAGGUAGCGAAAUUCCUUGUCGGGUAAGUUCCGACCUGCACGAAUGGCGUAAUGAUGGCCAGGCUGUCUCCACCCGAGACUCAGUGAAAUUGAACUCGCUGUGAAGAUGCAGUGUACCCGCGGCAAGACGGAAAGACCCCGUGAACCUUUACUAUAGCUUGACACUGAACAUUGAACCUUGAUGUGUAGGAUAGGUGGGAGGCUUUGAAGUGUGGACGCCAGUCUGCAUGGAGCCGACCUUGAAAUACCACCCUUUAAUGUUUGAUGUUCUAACCUGGUCCCGUGAUCCGGGAUAGGGACAGUGUCUGGUGGGUAGUUUGACUGGGGCGGUCUCCUCCCAAAGAGUAACGGAGGAGCACGAAGGUUAGCUAAUCCUGGUCGGACAUCAGGAGGUUAGUGCAAAGGCAUAAGCUAGCUUGACUGCGAGAGUGACGGCUCGAGCAGGUGCGAAAGCAGGUCUUAGUGAUCCGGUGGUUCUGAAUGGAAGGGCCAUCGCUCAACGGAUAAAAGGUACUCCGGGGAUAACAGGCUGAUACCGCCCAAGAGUUCAUAUCGACGGCGGUGUUUGGCACCUCGAUGUCGGCUCAUCACAUCCUGGGGCUGAAGUAGGUCCCAAGGGUAUGGCUGUUCGCCAUUUAAAGUGGUACGCGAGCUGGGUUUAGAACGUCGUGAGACAGUUCGGUCCCUAUCUGCCGUGGGCGUUGGAAGAUUGAGAGGGGCUGCUCCUAGUACGAGAGGACCGGAGUGGACGCACCGCUGGUGUUCGGGUUGUGAUGCCAAUUGCAUUGCCCGGUAGCUACGUGCGGAAAAGAUAAGCGCUGAAAGCAUCUAAGCGCGAAACUUGCCUCGAGAUGAGUCUUCCCUUGGACCUUGAGUCCACUAAAGGAACGUUUAAGACUAAGACGUUGAUAGGCUGGGUGUGUAAGCGUAGCGAUACGUUGAGCUAACCAGUACUAAUGAUCCGUGAGACUUAACCUU